UCUUGUUUUGUUGUGAUCUUUAAAUUGUAAUGUACUGCAUCUUUAGCUCAAAACUAUAUUUGAUGUUGGACUUUCUUGACAUUGUGCUAACAAAACAUUGUCACAAGUUCUCAGUUUUGGUGCCCUUUGCCUUUGACAUUUGUAAACAGUUCUCAUGUUCUUCUGCAGUUUGGUUUUGGUUCACCAUUAGCUUACUAACUUUUUCCCCUUUGUUUGGAAAAGAUUUGAAAUUAGAAUCUAUCCUCGCUACAGUCAAUACCAUAACUAAUAAGAUAAUGCCUCAAGGCCAUUGAUUCAUUAAUUUCUGAUGAACCAAGUUAGGGAUUGUUAAAAAAAAAUCCUCAUUCAUUUAAAACUUU
rnacentral:misc_RNA from 1 species